rnacentral:lncRNA from 1 species
AUGUAUCAUAACCAAAUUCAAACCAUCUUCUUCAACAAUUACCACACGCGAUUCCGCCGACAAACUGCAGCCACUGAUCCAAGAUCGCAAUACACAACCACCAAUCUUCGAAGCCCGUUUACACUAGCCUCCACUAACGACGUCGUCACCCUCAGUCCCAGCGCCGCGAACCCCAGAAUCCGCCGCGCCGUCAAGAUCUCUCCGGAUGCAGAUCCCGUCGCCGGCCGGUUACUCAACCGUGAGCACUGGUUUCGACGUAACGUUAACACUUCAAAAUGUUCUGCUUGA